rnacentral:rRNA from 1 species
UGGGGAAUAUUGGACAAUGGGCGCAAGCCUGAUCCAGCCAUGCCGCGUGUGUGAAGAAGGCCUUCUGGUUGUAAAGCACUUUAAGCGAGGAGGAGGCUACUUGGAUUAAUACUCUAGGAUAGUGGACGUUACUCGCAGAAUAAGCACCGGCUAACUCUGUGCCAGCAGCCGCGGUAAUACAGAGGGUGCGAGCGUUAAUCGGAUUUACUGGGCGUAAAGCGUGCGUAGGCGGCUUCUUAAGUCGGAUGUGAAAUCCCUGAGCUUAACUUAGGAAGUGCAUUCGAUACUGGGAAGCUAGAGUAUGGGAGAGGAUGGUAGAAUUCCAGGUGUAGCGGUGAAGUGCGUAGAGAUCUGGAGGAAUACCGAGGGCGAGGGCAGCCAUCUGGCCUAAUACUGACGCUGAGGUACGAAAGCAUGGGGAGCAAACAGG